rnacentral:rRNA from 1 species
GGUCCCGCCUGCCCUGUGACAAUGUUUAACGGCCGCGGUAUUUUGACCGUGCGAAGGUAGCGUAAUCAUUUGUCUUUUAAAUGAAGACCUGUAUGAAAGGCAUCACGAGAGUUUUACUGUCUCUAUUUUCUAAUCAAUGAAAUUGAUCUUCUCGUGCAGAAGCGAGAAUAAUAACAUUAGACGAGAAGACCCUAUGGAGCUUUAAACACAUAAAUUAAUUAUGUAAAAUUAUAAAUCUACGGAAAUAAAUUAUUUAUAUAAUAUUCCUAAUUUAACUGUUUUUGGUUGGGGUGACCAAGGGGGAAAAAAAAUCCCCCCUAUCGAUUGAGUAUAUUAAUACUUAAAAAUUAGAACGACAGUUCUUAUUAAUAAAAUAUUUACCGAAAAAUGACCCAGUUUUUCUGAUCAAUGAACCAAGUUACCCUAGGGAUAACAGCGCAAUCCUUUCCAAGAGUCCAUAUCGCCGAAAGGGUUUACGACCUCGAUGUUGGAUCAGGACAUCCUAAUAGUGCAACCGUUAUUAAGGGUUCGUUUGUUCAACGAUUAAUAGUCCUACGUGAUCUGAGUU